rnacentral:rRNA from 1 species
UAGUUCGGUCUCGUUGGUGACCAGCGGAGGGAUCAUUACCGAGUUUACAACUCCCAAACCCCUGUGAACAUACCUUAAUGUUGCCUCGGCGGAUCAGCCCGCGCCCCGUAAAACGGGACGGCCCGCCAGAGGACCCAAACUCUAAUGUUUCUUAUUGUAACUUCUGAGUAAAACAAACAAAUAAAUCAAAACUUUCAACAACGGAUCUCUUGGUUCUGGCAUCGAUGAAGAACGCAGCAAAAUGCGAUAAGUAAUGUGAAUUGCAGAAUUCAGUGAAUCAUCGAAUCUUUGAACGCACAUUGCGCCCGCUGGUAUUCCGGCGGGCAUGCCUGUUCGAGCGUCAUUUCAACCCUCAAGCCCCCGGGUUUGGUGUUGGGGAUCGGCUCUGCCUUCUGGCGGUGCCGCCCCCGAAAUACAUUGGCGGUCUCGCUGCAGCCUCCAUUGCGUAGUAGCUAACACCUCGCAACUGGAACGCGGCGCGGCCAUGCCGUAAAACCCCAACUUCUGAAUGUUGACCUCGGAUCAGGUAGGAAUACCCGCUGAACUUAAGCAUAUCAAAAGCCCGGAGGAA